UUCCUCUUUUUCGUCUUUACUCAGGCUCCUCGCAGGGUUACUCAGGCUCCGGCCUCGCUAGAUCUAGCGAGCUCGAGCCUCACUAGAUCUAGUGAGCUUGAACCUUGCUUGGUUAGUUGCCUGCCAUUGUCGUGCUAGCUAUCCACUAAGGAAGGAGGAAGAAAAAAUGAAAUAUAAAAACUAACUUUAAUUUUGCUUUUUACAAAAAAAAAAAAAAAAACAUUUUGGGGUAAAAGAAAAUGUGAGGCUUGGGUUAAAAAUAGAUCUUUAAGUCCUAUCCAUUUACGACCCAUUUAACUAGUCUUUUCAAAAUGUAAGUGAUCUAUACAUGACCCAUUUAAAUCAUAAAUGGGUCAUAUAUGGGCUUAAGACUGAUUUUGACACCUCUACUUCAGCCCAACUUAUAACUAGACCCGGCUCCUCCUCAUUAUAAUCGGACGAACCACACUAUGGCCGCCCCUACGCUAGUGCUCGCUCGCUUCUCUCUUCGUGCUCGUUGCCAUUUCGAUGUUCGUUCCAGCGUUCGUGAAGUGGCCGUUCCUCGCUUGGACGAAAGAGGUGCCCCUACUUCUACUGUUGCUGCUCCAGCGUUCGUUGAACAGCCGUUCCUACGCUGUUGUCGACAAAACAUGCACCCCUGCUUCGACGCUCACUCACUUCUCUCUUCACACUCGUUGCUACUUCGUCGUUUGUCGAGCUGCCAUUCCUCCACCAUCGCCAACGAAUCACAUUAAGGCCGUAAUAAUUGUGAUUCGUCGACUGACUCGAGGAGGAGGGAGGACCGUUUCUUCCUGAGGCAGAGGGAGGGAAAAACGCCUUAAUUAUUGCCUAUGGUCGCAGAACAACUAAUGGUAAGGGAACUGAUGCGUGACGGGGGAUCGAGUACCUGAGAAAGGUGAAGGACAGCGGGUGUCGUACUUUGGGCGCAUGGGUGGUCGAGUGCUGCGGGGGGAUCGCCUCUCCAGCUCCGCUAGAGUGGCGGAUUCCGCUGCCAUAGAAGAUAGUACUNNNNNNNNNNNNNNNNNNNNNNNNNNNNNNNNNNNNNNNNNNNNNNNNNNNNNNNNNNNNNNNNNNNNNNNNNNNNNNNNNNNNNNNNNNNNNNNNNNNNUCUAGUUGCCAACUGGGAUUAUGCAUGACUAUUUUGAUUGAUCAGGGAUAGCGGAUACCGGAAGCACGGAGAUCAAGGAUAUCGACCUGUUUGAGAACAAGAUUACCAUCUUCUCGUGCUCCUUCCAAUUCUCCCAUGUUUUUAUGCAAUUCAAUGGGGUCGGCUAUAUUUAAAAAUCGUCAGAAAGGGUUAGAAUUACAUUAGCCCAAAUUUCGAAAAGUUUAUGACUCAAAUCACAAUUAUAUAGUAAAUUUAGAAAUUUCUUAACAGUUUUUCCAUCGGAGUGUCGAUACAUACCUUACGGGAGAGGAAAGAAAUCCACCAUAAAUUGGAAAAUUACAAAGUUGGAGUCACUUAAGUUUUUCCCAACCCCUCAUUAUAUCUCUGCCUCAGGAAGAAACAGCCCUUCUUCCUCCUCCAGUCGAUUGACAAAGCACAAGUAUUACAGCCUUAAUGUGCUUCAUUAGCAAUGGUAAGGGAACAGCUGCUUGACAAAUGACAGAGUAGCAAUGAGUGCAGAAAGCGAGUGGGCGCCGAAGCAGGGGCGCAUGGUUUGUUGAUGACAGCGGGGGGAUGGCCGCUCCACGAACGCCAUAGUAGCAAUGUGCGCGGUGAGAGAAGAGAGUAAGCACCGGAGCAGGGGCACCUCCUUCGUCGGCUCAGGCAGGGAACAUCCACUUCACGAAUGCCGGAACGAACGUUAGGAACGAACGUUAGAGUAGCAACAAGCACGAAAAGAGAAGUGAGCAAACGCCAGCGCAAGGGCGGCUGUAGUGUGGUUCAUCGGCAACAGCGGGGGUUUCAGCCGCUUGACACACGGCGGACAGUGACGAGCGCGAAGAGAAUUUGGGAUUCAAAAUUUUGAACACUUCAUGAGAAGAAAGAAAUGGGGUUUGCAGUUGCUGGAGUGGAACGAAAAUCGUCUGCUUCUCUUUCUUUCUUCCAUGCCAUAAUAAAUGCAUUGCACAUGAGAGAGAAUGUGUAGGCUGUGCAGGUGAGGGGGAGAAUGGACGUGCAUAGGCUAGGAGAGGGUAGGAAAACGCUAGGGAGAGGAGAAAGAAAGAAAAAAAUGCAGAAGACAGCAAGGGGGCCACUUUUCAACGUGGCACCGCGUGAGUGGUCAGGGACCAUGCUGACAUGGUGCUCCCAGACCACCCAAUAUUUUCUUGGACUUUUUGGAGAGCGUCUUCACCAAAAGACGUUUUCCCCUCCGAAUGAAGUCCUUCUCUACAGAACCAUCAAUGACGAGCUCGACGAAGACUCCACUACACAGAUUCACACCACAAUCUUUACCAGUCUAACGUCGAUACCUAAAGUCGCUGACCGUCACUAAAUAUUCUUCCUCAGCCACUACUCUGGCCAUGACCGAGCUAUUCCGAUAAAGAAAUUUCCAGCUCGAAAAUUUCACAAAGCAGCAUAGAAAACGCACAAAGGUAUACUAAAACAGUGGAGAAUGAACUGACUUGGCAGCAUCAAGCCACGGCCAUUGCCAGCGACGGAGGUUGAGAACAUCGACUCCAAACAUGUGGGUCCAUGGACAGCCCGCGCCGAAGAUUUGCAAAAGCGUGGCAUAAAACAAAGAGUAAAAACACAGAGUUAGAUUUAGUUCCAACAAUUAAUGAAGUGGACAUGAAUCAAUCUUGAAUCUAAACACAUGCUGUAAGCUAGACCAUUUUGCACAAAAAUUCGCAGCAGUGCAAAUAUGCGAAAGUUUAUCAACAUGAGGUGCAGAAAUCCCACCACAACACCAGACUCGCCGCAAAGCACACGACAUAAUUAACCACCCGCUCGCAGAUGGACGGCAUGAGUGCGCCGCCUAGGAGGCUAGUCCUAUCUACAAAUCAACUCAAAAGGCAAUCUUCUGCCAAAAUCGCAGCUAACGAAAGCGAAAACAUGCAGUAUCUGCACAUAUAACGACGCGAUCGAGCAUAUUAUAAACCUACAGUUAUUUUCAUUUCGAAGAAAAGCACUGCGAUUCAACAGGCAUCCUAGG
rnacentral:lncRNA from 1 species